rnacentral:rRNA from 1 species
AGUCGACUGGAAUUCACCUUCGGGUGAUAGUACGGUGGCGGACGGGUGAGUAACGCGUAAAGAACUUGCCCUCUAGACUGGGACAACUGUUGGAAACGACAGCUAAUACCGGAUAUUAUGAGAUUCUCGCAUGGGAAACUUACGAAAGGCUAUAUGCGCUAGAGGAGAGCUUUGCGUGCCAUUAGGUAGUUGGUAGGGUAAUGGCCUACCAAGCCGACGAUGGCUAGCCGGCCUGAGAGGGUGAUCGGCCACAAGGGGACUGAGACACGGCCCUUACUCCUACGGGAGGCAGCAGUGGGGAAUAUUGGACAAUGGACCAAAAGUCUGAUCCAGCAAUUCUGUGUGCACGAUGAAGGUUUUCGGAUCGUAAAGUGCUUUCAGGUGGGAAGAAAAAAAUGACGGUACCACCAGAGGAAGCGACGGCUAAAUACGUGCCAGCAGCCGCGGUAAUACGUAUGUCGCAAGCGUUAUCCGGAAUUAUUGGGCGUAAAGCGCGUCUAGGCGGCCUUUUAAGUCUGAUGUGAAAAUGCGGGGCUCAACUCCGUAUUGCGUUGGAAACUGGAAGGCUAGAGUAUCAGAGAGGUGGGCGGAACUACAAGUGUAGAGGUGAAAUUCGUAGAUAUUUGUAGGAAUGCCGAUUGGGAAGCCAGCUCACUGGAUGAAUACUGACGCUGAAGCGCGAAAGCGUGGGGAGCAAACGGGAUUAGAUACCCCGGUAGUCCACGCCGUAAACGAUGAUCACUAAGUGUGGGGGGUCGAACCUCCGUGCUCAAGCUAACGCGAUAAGUGAUCCGCCUGGGGAGUACGCACGCAAGUGUGAAACUCAAAGGAAUUGAC